CCUACGGGAGGCAGCAGUAGGGAAUAUUGGGCAAUGGACGGAGGUCUGACCCAGCCAUGCCGCGUGGAGGAAGACGGCCCUCUGGGUUGUAAACUCCUUUUAUCAGGGAAGAAGAGCAGCUAUGCGUAGCUGUGUGACGGUACCUGAGGAAUCAGCACCGGCUAACUCCGUGCCAGCAGCCGCGGUAAUACGGAGGGUGCAAGCGUUGUCCGGAUUUAUUGGGUUUAAAGGGUGCGUAGGUGGCCUGUUAAGUCCGCUCUGAAAGUUGGUCGCUUAACGAUCAAGGGUGGGUGGAUACUGGCGGGCUUGGAUCAGGUGGCGGUUUCUGGAACGGGUCGUGUAGCGGUGAAAUGCAUAGAUAUGACCCAGAACUCCGAUUGCGAAGGCAGGAGGCUACGCCUGGAUUGACACUGAGGCACGAGAGCAUGGGGAGCAAACGAGGAUUAGACUACCCGUGGUACGUCCAUGACCGUAAACGAUGAUUACGUGACUGUGUGGAGCGUGUCCGUCGUCGUGGUUGUAGCGAAGACGUUAAGUUAAGUACCGUACCGUACGGGGUAGGUAACGGUCGUCGUUCGAAGUAGUUAGUUAACGUACGAAGGAAGUUAGGACGGGACGUUAGAGACGNGCGACGGACGACGACGAGGGAGGAGG
rnacentral:rRNA from 1 species